rnacentral:rRNA from 1 species
UACGUAGGUGGCAAGCGUUGUCCGGAUUUAUUGGGCGUAAAGGGCGCGCAGGCGGUCCGUUAAGUCUGAGGUGAAAUCUCCCGGCUCAACUGGGAGGGGUCUUCAGAUACUGGCGGACUUGAGGAGUGCAGAGGUGAGUGGAAUUCUCGGUGUAGUGGUGAAAUGCGUAGAUAUCGAGAGGAACACCAGUGGCGGAAGGCGGCUCACUGGGCACCACCUGACGCUGAGGCGCGAAAGCGUGGGGAGCGAACCGG